UGGUUAUUUGAAUUUAAUGACACUAAACGCUCUAUUAGAAUCUUAAAGAUUCAAGUUCACAUUAGCAUAUUAUGGUUUAUGAGAAGUCAAGAAGCCCAGAGGCUUGUGUAAGCCUGGCCUGUUUAAUCUAGAAUUUCCCAAGUUCACUUGAGCAGCAAGUCUGCUUUUUAUUUGUUUGUUGUUUGUUCUGUUGUUUUUGUGUUGAUAAUCCCUAGUGACGUCCAGAGGAAGUGACACUGAGAAUCUGUGGUAACAGAAAUCCCAAAGAACACAGAGUGCAUGGUGGGAGGGGCACCUGAUCACUUUCUCCAAAAACGGGGAAUUUUCGAUAAAAUUUUUAAAUAUAAUAUGUUGCUAUCAUGGUUGUCAAGACUAUAAUAAAAUACUUUAGAUAAAACAGAAUGAAAAAGCAAAGUCACGCAUAAGUAGUUAAAAAAAGGAUGGCACUCUUUUAUGUGGUGAAUUCCCUGUGGUAUAAUACAUUUGAUUCAUUUCCUAUGGUAUAUGUGACCUUGGGUAAAAAUAACAUAACCAUAUUCUACAAAAAUAUGGUUUCUUUAAUAGGAGUUAGUGCCAGGGGCAAAUGAAGGAUGGAGCGAGCAAAAAAAGAAGGGCAGAGGCAGAGAGAGAAUCCUGAAACAGACUCCCCACAGAGUCAGAGGCCCCGGGGCUCCAACCCAGGACUCUGAGAUCAUGACCUGAGCUGAAAUCAAGAGUCCCAUCCUUGGGCGCCUGGGUGGCUCAGUUGGUUAAGCGACUGCCUUCGGCUCAAGUCAUGAUCCUGGAGUCCCGGGAUUGAGUCCUGCAUCCGGCUCCCUGCUCAGCGAGGAGCCUGCUUCUCCUUCUAACCCUACCCCCUCUCAUGUACUCUCUCUCUCUCUAAUUCUCUCUCUCUCAAAUAAAUAAAUAAAAUCUUUAAAAAAAAAAAAGAGUCCCAUCCUUAAUCGACUGAGCCACCCAGAUGCCCCAAUUUUAUUUUACUUUAUCUUAUUUAAUUUAUAUUAUUUAUUUAUUUGUUUGUUUGUUUGUUUGUUUUGAAAGCCAUAGGAGUAGUAAAUAAUGACGCGCUUAUUGACCCAGUUGGUGAACUUUUCCACAGUAUCAGAGGUUGUUAUUACCUCUGGGCUAAAAACUUAUCUUGAAGCAUUAGAGUGCCAAGCACAUUUGCAAACUGUCUUUGUCUCAUUUCCCCAUUGUUUUCCUCCAGUUUCCUUCUCAUGCUCCAUUCCUGCCUCAGAAAGUGAUGAGUUUUGACAAAAGGCCAGUGGUUAGGCAUGAAAAGAUAGAACCCCAAUAGCCUCAGCCUGUAUAAAAACUUUAUAAAAAAACGAAUAUUAUUCUCUCAAGAAAAAAAAAAAAAACUGUUCACUUUUGACUUUGGUAAUACAUUUUAUUUAAACCUUAGUAUUUCAGAAGAAUUUUUUUAAAGCCUACUCAUUUGAGUAAAUACUUAUUUGUAAUUAUCAAUUAAUAAUUAUUUGGAAAGAGAUUUUAAAGAAUUAAAUAACAGGAUGGAUCUAAUCAUUAUCUUAGUAUAUUUAAGUAUAUAUCAUUUAAAAUAACCUAUUUAUCUAUUCAAGUUAUCCAAAGCAGUGAGGUAUCAGUGGGGAUUUUAAUACUAGUAGAAAAGGCCAGGUUGUCAACUUUUGAAACUGAAAUAGGUUAUCAGUGGGAACAAAGUUUGAAUGGAACAUAGAGAAAUUUUAUGAUCAAAGUCCCUCAGGCAAUAAAAACUUUCUAAACUUGGUAGAAAGAUAUUAUAAAACUUCAACUUUCUAGCAACCACAUGGAUGUUAAUUCUGUUUGUUUUGUGCCAUUUUAACCCACAAAUAAUGACUGGAUGGUUUAAAUCUCUAUAAAUGGCUUACAAAAGAAAAGAAAAAGGCAGACUAGGGAUUGAGCAGGAGAGGAAGGUGAAGACACACCAUAAUUGUGAUGCAAGGCUGCCGCUCAUUCUGUGUACAAAUAAAUAGGCUUCAACACCUGCUGAUGUGCUGACAUCUGGCUUGAAAGCAACAAACAUCUGUUUGUAAUUUGCAGUGGGAAAGGAUGACAGUGAAGAACUGGAUACCGUCACUGAAUAUACAACCUUGUUAAGUUACUAAAAGGACCCAGAGGAGAGAUCAUGAAUGGAUCCUUUGAGACGUGUGACUACCUUGUGAUAAGUUCUGUCAGCUGGAAGACUGAGAUUGGGAUGCCUUCAUGGUCGGGUGAGGGCCCCCUUCUGGGCUGCAGACUUCUGACUCCUGCUGUGUCUCUGCAAGGUGAGGGAGUUCUGUGGGAUCUAGAUUUUAAGACCACUAAUCCCAUUCAUGAGGGCUCUACCCUCCUGACCUAAGCACCCCUCAAAGGCUCCACCUCUUAAGAGUAUAUUUGGGCAUUAGGAUUGU